CCCAGCUGAACGACUUCUUUUAAAGAGGAGGUAGCAUUGUGGGGCGGUACCUGGAACGUCCCCACAGAUGCGUGGAGCUUGAAGAAUCAUUCAAGGGAAUUUUAAGAGAAAAAAAUGCUACAUUUGGGGUUUGUCAAAUGGGAAACGUGAGGGAAUAUGGUGACUGCUGUUGGAAACAUGACUUAGGUAUGCCGCGUUUUAAGGCUGAACAGAGAGGACCAUUCGCUCUGAAACCAACCCUGAAAGAAGGCAAGCAGAGUUAGAAGGGCCGAGAAUUAACGAGGUGAUCUCCUUCAGUGGCCCAGUUGCUGCUGCUGCUUCUUUCUCAAGCU
rnacentral:lncRNA from 1 species